rnacentral:tRNA from 1 species
ACCUAGGUGGCUCAGUCGGUUAAGCAUCUGACUUUGGCUCAGGUCUUGAUGUCAUGGUUCGUGAGUUCAAGCCCCACGCUGGGCA